GAUUUGUCUGGUUAAUUCCGAUAACGAACGAGACUCAAACUUUUUUAAAUAGAUGCCUGCAGGACUAUGGCGUUGAAGUUUCAUGUGCUUCGGCACGUGCGAUGGAGUCAUACCUGUUUGGUUUGUCUUAAGAGGACACUUUGCUUCUUAAAUGGACAAAUUGCGUCUAGCAAUAACGAGAUUGAGCAAUAACAGGUCUGUGAUGCCCUUAGAUGUCCUGGGCUGCACGCGCGCUACAAUGAAGGUAUCAGUGUGUUUUAUCCUUGGCCGAGAGGUCUGGGUAAACAUUGAACCACCUUCUUGGUUGGGAUUGUGGACUGUAACUGUUCACAUGAACCCGGAAUUCCCAGUAAGUGCGAGUCAUAAGCUUGCAUUGAUUACGUCCCUGCCCUUUGUACACACCGCCCGUCGCUACUACUGAUGAAUUGUUUAGUGAGGUCUCUGGACGUGUACAACAUGAUACCCUCGUGGUAAUUUGUUUGUCGCACGGAAGCUGACCGAACUUGAUUAUUUAGAGGAAGUAAAAGGCGUAACAAGAUUUCC
rnacentral:rRNA from 1 species